rnacentral:rRNA from 1 species
UAUAGAGGUCUCAAGCGUUGUUCGGAUUUAUUGGGCGUAAAGGGCGCGUAGGCGGCGGGGUAAGUCGGGUGUGAAAUCUCAGGGCUCAACCCUGAAACUGCACUUGAUACUGCUCUGCUUGAGGACUGGAGAGGAGACUGGAAUUUACGGUGUAGCGGUGAAAUGCGUAGAUAUCGUAAGGAAGACCAGUGGCGAAGGCGGGUCUCUGGACAGUUCCUGACGCUGAGGCACGAAGGCCAGGGGAGCAAACGGG